rnacentral:rRNA from 1 species
AUUGAACGCUGGCGGCAUGCCUUACACAUGCAAGUCGAACGGCAGCACGGGUGCUUGCACCUGGUGGCGAGUGGCGAACGGGUGAGUAAUACAUCGGAACGUACCUUAUCGUGGGGGAUAACGCAGCGAAAGCUGUGCUAAUACCGCAUACGCCCUGAGGGGGAAAGCGGGGGAUCGCAAGACCUCGCGCGAUUCGAGCGGCCGAUGCCUGAUUAGCUAGUUGGUGGGGUAAAAGCCCACCAAGGCGACGAUCAGUAGCGGGUCUGAGAGGACGAUCAGCCACACUGGGACUGAGACACGGCCCAGACUCCUACGGGAGGCAGCAGUGGGGAAUUUUGGACAAUGGGGGCAACCCUGAUCCAGCAAUGCCGCGUGAGUGAAGAAGGCCUUCGGGUUGUAAAGCUCUUUUGUCAGGGAAGAAACACCGGCUCUAACACAGUCCGGGAAUGACGGUACCUGAAGAAUAAGCACCGGCUAACUACGUGCCAGCAGCCGCAGUAA